AUUUCCCUAGUAACGGCGAGUGAAGAGGAAAGAGCUCAAAUUUGAAAGCUGGCUCCUUCGGAGUCCGCAUUGUAAUUUGCAGAGGAUGCUUUGGGUGCGGCCCCCGUCUAAGUGCCCUGGAACGGGCCGUCAGAGAGGGUGAGAAUCCCGUCUUGGGCGGGGUGUCCGUGCCCGUGUAAAGCUCCUUCGACGAGUCGAGUUGUUUGGGAAUGCAGCUCUAAAUGGGUGGUAAAUUUCAUCUAAAGCUAAAUACUGGCCGGAGACCGAUAGCGCACAAGUAGAGUGAUCGAAAGAUGAAAAGCACUUUGAAAAGAGAGUUAAACAGCACGUGAAAUUGUUGAAAGGGAAGCGCUUGCGACCAGACUCGCCCGCGGGGUUCAGCCGGCAUUCGUGCCGGUGUACUUCCCCGUGGGCGGGCCAGCGUCGGUUUGGGCGGCCGGUCAAAGGCCCCUGGAAUGUAGUACCCUCCGGGGUACCUUAUAGCCAGGGGUGCAAUGCGGCCAGCCUGGACCGAGGAACGCGCUUCGGCACGGACGCUGCCAUAAUGGUCGAAAACGACCCGUCU
rnacentral:rRNA from 1 species